GACAGAGGGUGCAAACGUUGUUCGGAAUUACUGGGCGUAAAGCGCGUGUAGGCGGCCCUGCAAGUCGGAUGUGAAAUCCCACGGCUCAACCAUGGAAGUGCAUUCGAAACUGCAGAGCUAGAGUCCUGGAGAGGAAGGUGGAAUGCUUGGUGUAGAGGUGAAAUUCGUAGAUAUCAAGCGGAACACCAGAGGCGAAGGCGGCCUACUGGGCCAGUACUGACGCUGAGCCGCGAAAGCCAGGGGAGCGAACGGG
rnacentral:rRNA from 1 species